rnacentral:tRNA from 1 species
UGGUAGCUCAGUCGGGUAGAGCAACUCCGCAAGGAGCCUGUCGAAGGUUCGAAUCCUUCCCAACCU